rnacentral:lncRNA from 1 species
UUCAUCACUUAGUGAUUAGAAUGUGCCUGGAUAGUUUGAAAUGUGCAAUGAGUUUUGGUAGUUAUAAUGUUUGCCUACAUAAUAAAUGUUGUUACUCUGUUUCUUUCUUCUCCUCCUUUUUUUUCUAUUUAUUUGUUUGUGUGCUUGAUAUGUUAACAACAUGACAAUAUUUUUAUCGUCUCUAUGUUUCAGAUCCAAAGACUGAAAAGUUUUCUAAAUCU